GACGAACGCUGGCGGCGUGCUUAACACAUGCAAGUCGAACGGAAAGGCCCUGCUCUUGUGGGGUGCUCGAGUGGCGAACGGGUGAGUAACACGUGAGUAACCUGCCCUUGACUUUGGGAUAACUUCAGGAAACUGGGGCUAAUAUCGGAUAGGAGCUCCUGCUGCAUGGUGGGGGUUGGAAAGUUUCGGCGGUUGGGGAUGGAAUGGCGGCUUAUCGGCUUGUUGGUGGGGUAGUGGCUUACCAAGGCUUUGACGGGUAGCCGGCCUGAGAGGGUGACCAGGCACAUGGGGCCUAAGAUACGGCCCAGACGCGUACGGGAGGCAGCAGUCGGAAAUCUGGCGGAAUGGGCGGGAGCCAGAUGCAGAGGCGCUGCGUGCGGGAUGCCGUGCUACUGGUUGUAAACCGCUGUCGACUGAGACGUAGCGGGAGUGACGGUAAUGGGUAAAGAAGCACCGGCUAACUACGUG
rnacentral:rRNA from 1 species